ACGAACGCUGGCGGCGUGCCUAACACAUGCAAGUCGCACGAGAAAGGGGCUUCGGCUCCGAGUAAAGUGGCGCACGGGUGAGUAACACGUGGGUAACCUGCCUCUAAGAUUGGGAUAACUCGUCGAAAGAUGAGCUAAUACCGAAUAAGACCACAGUUCCCGCGGGAACAGGGGUCAAAGGUAGCCUCUGCUUGCAAGCUAUCACUUAGAGAUGGGCCUGCGCACCAUUUGCUAGUUGGUAGGGUAACGGCCUACCAAGGCAAAGAUGGUUAGCUGGUCUGAGAGGAUGAUCAGCCACACUGGAACUGAGACACGGUCCAGACUCCUACGGGAGGCAGCAGUGGGGAAUAUUGCGCAAUGGGCGAAAGCUUGACGCAGCAACGCCGCGUGAGUGAUGAAGGCCUUCGGGUCGUAAAGCUCUGUCGGGAGGAACGAAUGCUCCUGAGGUUAACAGCCUCGGGAGGUGACGGUACCUUCAAAGGAAGCACCGGCUAACUCUGUG
rnacentral:rRNA from 1 species